AUUGAACGCUGGCGGCAUGCCUUACACAUGCAAGUCGAACGGUAACGCGGGGCAACCUGGCGACGAGUGGCGAACGGGUGAGUAAUACAUCGGAACGUGCCCAGUAGUGGGGGAUAGCCCGGCGAAAGCCGGAUUAAUACCGCAUACGACCUAAGGGUGAAAGCAGGGGACCGCAAGGCCUUGCGCUAUUGGAGCGGCCGAUGUCAGAUUAGCUAGUUGGUGGGGUAAAAGCCUACCAAGGCGACGAUCUGUAGCUGGUCUGAGAGGACGACCAGCCACACUGGGACUGAGACACGGCCCAGACUCCUACGGGAGGCAGCAGUGGGGAAUUUUGGACAAUGGGCGCAAGCCUGAUCCAGCCAUGCCGCGUGCGGGAAGAAGGCCUUCGGGUUGUAAACUGCUUUUAUACAGGGAUAAAGUUAGUCACGUGUGGCUAUUUGCAGGUACUGUAUGAAUAAGGACCGGCUAAUUCCGUG
rnacentral:rRNA from 1 species